rnacentral:rRNA from 1 species
UACGUAGGUGGCAAGCGUUAUCCGGAAUUACUGGGCGUAAAGCGUGCGCAGGCGGCUUUCCAAGUCAGUGGUGAAAGCCCGGAGCUCAACUCCGGAAAUGCCAUUGAAACUGUGAAGCUCGAGAACGAGAGAGGUGAGUGGAAUUCCCAGUGUAGAGGUGAAAUUCGUAGAUAUUAGGAAGAACACCGGUGGCGAAGGCGGCCCACUGGAUCGGUACUGACGCGAGGUGCGAAAGCGUGGGGAGCAAACAGG